CUUCUUUGAGUGGAAAGCACUGAAUAUUAGUACUACUUUUUUAUCAGUUUUUUGUAAGAAGCAUCCUAGAGGUCAGAAUCUCACAAGUGCCACAAGAAUAGUGUUUCUCUUAUCAACUCAAUCAGUUUGUAAUUAAUUGGUGAUCGCCAAAUGCUUCUUGAACGUAGAUUCAUUGCAAAAUUGACAUUUUAGUACUGAUCGGUAUUUCAUUGGGUUCAAUCUGUGAAUUUUCCCUAUCUUUGUUCUGAAGACAUGAGUAUUGUCAUUACCAGAAAAUAUACUUUUUAUUGCCCGAAAUGAUAAUGAUCCUUUUUUGAUAUUUGAUGUACAGGCUAAUGUACAGAGUCUGUCUUCAACAAAUCUAGCACAGCACAACUUGUGGACAUGCAGACAAUUGUUCACAGUUCGGCUUUUCUAUAUGGUUUUAUUGAUUUAUUUUAUCAUUUUGCACAAAUUGAGUAGAUGAACAAAGGUAUCCAUGCACCGAGAGUUUUUCCUGGAAAAGGCAAGGAUUGCUGCAGAAUAGUUUGUUGUUCUAUAUAACCUAAUAAAAACAAAUCACGAUUUUGUAAGAUUUGCUGGAAGGAUGGAGAAAAAGGAGUGACAGAGAAUGAAUAAGGAAAAAAAAAUUAGCAGGUGACGGUCAAGACAGGGUACACAAGAUAGUUAAUUAGUCGUAAAGGAAAAUUAUGUAAAUUCCUAUAGAAAAAAAUGGGGCGGAUAGAUACAAGCUAGAGAGCACAUGUGGCUCGGAAAUCCAUACCUGAGAAAAUAAGUAACAGAAAAGGAAAGAAGUCGGUUUGAUGCUACUGAACCUUGUUGCUUGUAAAUAUUAUGUAUUUUGUUCAACUAUCAAAAAAAAAAAAAAAAAUAUUAUAUAUUUUGUUCGACUUGUAGAUGUAAAUCUUGAUAGUUUCCUUUUGAGUUGGGUAUAUAUAAUGGCAGUGCGCCAUCUUCUAUUGUUG
rnacentral:lncRNA from 1 species